UGGGGAAUAUUGGGCAAUGGGGCGAAAGCCUGACCCAGCAACGCCGCGUGAAGGAAGAAGGUCUUCGGAUUGUAAACUUCUUUUAUGAGGGACGAAGGACGUGACGGUACCUCAUGAAUAAGCCACGGCUAACUACGUGCCAGCAGCCGCGGUAAUACGUAGGUGGCAAGCGUUGUCCGGAUUUACUGGGUGUAAAGGGCGCGUAGGCGGGAAUGCAAGUCAGAUGUGAAAUCCAAGGGCUCAACCCUUGAACUGCAUUUGAAACUGUAUUUCUUGAGUGUCGGAGAGGUUGACGGAAUUCCUAGUGUAGCGGUGAAAUGCGUAGAUAUUAGGAGGAACACCAGUGGCGAAGGCGGUCAACUGGACGAUAACUGACGCUGAGGCGCGAAAGCGUGGGGAGCAAACAGGAUUAGAUACCCU
rnacentral:rRNA from 1 species